UGCUGGCGAAUACGCCGGGGAAUUUGUUGGCGAAGAUCCCGACUCCGACGCCCGUUCCGCAAGCAAGGAGGCCACGGGUCUCCACGGAGGGGGAGGUGGUGGCGGAAGAGACUCGACGGCCGACUUCAGCACCGAUGUUGUAGUAGGAGGUGAUUCCGAGAUCUUCGACUUCUAUGUUGAGGGAGCGGAGGUGGGAUACCAUGGCGUCUUUUAGCUCGGCGCCGAAAGAAUCAGCUCCGGCGAUGACUUUGAGGGGGGAAGACGCGGUGGCUGAAUCGGCCAUGAUGCGGCUGUGGAAGGUAGAGAGUAACUAAAGUGAGAUUAAGAAGAAAGUUGAGG
rnacentral:lncRNA from 1 species